rnacentral:hammerhead_ribozyme from 1 species
GCACUGAUAAAGAGUCCCACAAUAGGAUGAAACGGUCGUCCAGUGC